rnacentral:rRNA from 1 species
GUGGGGAAUUUUGGACAAUGGGCGCAAGCCUGAUCCAGCAAUGCCGCGUGUGUGAAGAAGGCCUUCGGGUUGUAAAGCACUUUUGUCCGGAAAGAAAUCUCCUGGGUUAAUACCUCGGGGGGAUGACGGUACCGGAAGAAUAAGCACCGGCUAACUACGUGCCAGCAGCCGCGGUAAUACGUAGGGUGCGAGCGUUAAUCGGAAUUACUGGGCGUAAAGCGUGCGCAGGCGGCUAUGCAAGACAGAUGUGAAAUCCCCGGGCUCAACCUGGGAACUGCAUUUGUGACUGGAUGGCUAGAGUGCGGCAGAGGGAGGUGGAAUUCCGCGUGUAGCAGUGAAAUGCGUAGAGAUGCGGAGGAACACCGAUGGCGAAGGCAGCCUCCUGGGAUGACACUGACGCUCAUGCACGAAAGCGUGGGGAGCAAACAGGAUUAGAAACCCGGGUAGUCC